UACGUAGGGGGCAAGCGUUGUCCGGAAUUACUGGGCGUAAAGCGUGCGCAGGCGGUCUGUUAAGACCGAUGUGAAAUCCCCGGGCUUAACCUGGGAACUGCAUUGGUGACUGGCAGGCUUUGAGUGUGGCAGAGGGAGGUAGAAUUCCACGUGUAGCAGUGAAAUGCGUAGAGAUGUGGAGGAAUACCGAUGGCGAAGGCAGCCUCCUGGGCCAACACUGACGCUCAUGCACGAAAGCGUGGGGAGCAAACAGG
rnacentral:rRNA from 1 species